rnacentral:tRNA from 1 species
GCCGAGAUGGCAGUAAGUGCGGUAGGUUGUAGCCCUAAUAAUACGAUAAAAAAAUUUCGUUCUUGGUA